rnacentral:Y_RNA from 1 species
GGCUGGUCCGAUGGUAGUGGGUUAUCAGAACUUACUAACAUUAGUGUCACUAAAGUUGGUAUACAACCCCCCACUGCUAAAUUUGACUGGCUUUAA